GACGAACGCUGGCGGCAUGCUUAACACAUGCAAGUCGAACGGAAAGGCCCUGCUUUUGUGGGGUGCUCGAGUGGCGAACGGGUGAGUAACACGUGAGUAACCUGCCCUUGACUUUGGGAUAACUUCAGGAAACUGGGGCUAAUACCGGAUAGGAGCUCCUGCUGCAUGGUGGGGGUUGGAAAGUUUCGGCGGUUGGGGAUGGACUCGCGGCUUAUCAGCUUGUUGGUGGGGUAGUGGCUUACCAAGGCUUUGACGGGUAGCCGGCCUGAGAGGGUGACCGGCCACAUUGGGACUGAGAUACGGCCCAGACUCCUACGGGAGGCAGCAGUGGGGAAUAUUGCACAAUGGGCGGAAGCCUGAUGCAGCAACGCCGCGUGCGGGAUGAUGGCCUUCGGGUUGUAAACCGCUUUCGCCUGUGACGAAGCGUGAGUGACGGUAAUGGGUAAAGAAGCACCGGCUAACUACGUG
rnacentral:rRNA from 1 species